CGCGCAUUUAUUUGGCAGGUAAACUCAGGUAAGCUUAGGCAAUAACUCUUAUUUAUCUAUAAAUUUAUUCAAUUAUUUUUAAGUAAAAGUAUCCUUUCCGUAAGUCCAAGUCACCUACUCACCCACUAGGAGGUAGACGUUGGAUACAAGCAGGAUAAGUCGGUUGCAUUAUAUUCUAUCAAUCCGAUUUGCUAUAUAAAAAAAAAAAAACUUCAAAUGUUCGUUACUUGACAAAACUUUACAAACUAACUUAGAUUGUUUACAAAUUUUAAAAAGAUCACUAUUCGGGGUACUUAGAUAUAGGAAUAUAUAAAAAAGUACUUGUUUACCCUGAAAAAUUCGCAAUGAAGUUACAUGUAUGCCUUAAGUUAUAACAGAAUUUAGCAUGCACACUUUAUAUCAAGUUGUCUUAGAAUACGAUAUGAACAACAUAUGAUUGAAG
rnacentral:lncRNA from 1 species